AACAAUAGGUUGAAGAAAACUUCUCACAUGCCGAUCUCUCUCACUCUUCAGUCUUUCUCAUCCGAUCAAUCGUCUCUCUCGCUCGAUGGUCUCUCUCACUUGAUCUAUCGUCCCUCUCGUUGAUUUCUCUGUAAUUUUGUCGUUCAACGAAUACAUUCUCAGGAUGUGUGGAUAAGUUAGAGCAAAUAAAUUGAGGAACGUCAGCGCUGGCUGCUAGAAAUUCCUGUUGUACACUUUGAUCCCAAUUUGGAUUUAUUAUUUGAGUCUUGUGAAGAUGUUGGAAAGUUACAUGACUAUAAACAAGGAAUGGUGCACUUUUGGUCCCUUGCAGUUCUCAUUUUCUCUCUCAAUCGAUAUCUCAUGGUAACGGAUUUCUCUACUCAAAAGUUGCCCACGAGUUAUCUCUUGAAUCUAGGUCAACCACUCCCACGGGUAACAACUCCUGGAAGUAAAACUAGAGAUAGAAAAGUCCAACUAAUACAUAAAGUGGGUUUAAUUUGUCUAUGGAUGCAAGAUGAUUAACCAGAAGUAGAACUAGAGAUAAAAAAAGCCAAAUAAUGCAUAAAGUGGGUUUAAUUUGUUUAUGGAUGCAAGAUGAUUAACCAGUUGAAGCAACAAUUGAUUUUUUUAAGGUUUUUCCUUAGUAUAAUAUUUUUAUUUAGCUAUUUUGAAA